rnacentral:rRNA from 1 species
GACGAACGCUGGCGGCGUGCCUAAUACAUGCAAGUUGAGCGCUGAAGGUUGGUACUUGUACCAACUGGAUGAGCAGCGAACGGGUGAGUAACGCGUGGGGAAUCUGCCUUUGAGCGGGGGACAACAUUUGGAAACGAAUGCUAAUACCGCAUAAAAACUUUAAACACAAGUUUUAAGUUUGAAAGAUGCAAUUGCAUCACUCAAAGAUGAUCCCGCGUUGUAUUAGCUAGUUGGUGAGGUAAAGGCUCACCAAGGCGAUGAUACAUAGCCGACCUGAGAGGGUGAACGGCCACAUUGGGAAUGGGACACGGCCCAAACUCCUACGGGAGGCAGCAGUAGGGAAUCUUCGGGAAUGGACGAAAGUCUGACCGGGCAACGCCGCGUGAGUGAAGAAGGUUUUCGGAUCGUAAAACUCUGUUGGUAGAGAAGAACGUUGGUGGGAGUGGAAAGCUCAUCAAGUGACGGUAACUACCCAGAAAGGGACGGCUAACCACGUG